CCUACGGGUGGCAGCAGUGGGGAAUAUUGGACAAUGGGCGAAAGCCUGAUCCAGCCAUGCCGCGUGUGUGAAGAAGGCCUUCGGGUUGUAAAGCACUUUCAGUGGGGAAGAAAGCCUUGGGGCUAAUACCCUCGAGGAAGGACAUCACCCACAGAAGAAGCACCGGCUAACUCCGUGCCAGCAGCCGCGGUAAUACGGAGGGUGCGAGAGUUAAUCGGAAUUACUGGGCGUAAAGCGCGCGUAGGCGGUCUGAUAAGCCGGUUGUGAAAGCCCCGGGCUCAACCUGGGAACGGCAUCCGGAACUGUCAGGCUAGAGUGCAGGAGAGGAAGGUAGAAUUCCCGGUGUAGCGGUGAAAUGCGUAGAGAUCGGGAGGAAUACCAGUGGCGAAGGCGGCCUUCUGGACUGACACUGACGCUGAGGUGCGUAAGCGUGGGUAGCAAACAGGAUUAGAUACCCUUGUAGUC
rnacentral:rRNA from 1 species